CAGCAGCCACGGUAAUACGUAGGUGGCAAGCGUUGUCCGGAAUUAUUGGGCGUAAAGGGCUCGCAGGCGGUUUCUUAAGUCUGAUGUGAAAGCCCCCGGCUCAACCGGGGAGGGUCAUUGGAAACUGGGAAACUUGAGUGCAGAAGAGGAGAGUGGAGUUCCACGUGUAGCGGUGGAAUGCGUAGAGAUGUGGAGGAACACCAGUGGCGAAGGCAACUCUCUGGUCUGUAACUGACGCUGAGGAGCGAAAGCGUGGGGAGCGAACAGGAUUAGAUACCCGGGUAGUCCCUGUCUCUUAUAC
rnacentral:rRNA from 1 species